rnacentral:rRNA from 1 species
CAAUAGCGUAUAUUUAAGUUGCUGCAGUUAAAAAGCUCGUGGUUGGAUUUCGGGUGGGAAUGGCCGGUCCGCCGUUUCGGUGUGCACUUGCUACGCCCACCUUGCUGCCGGGGACGUGCUCUUGAGUUCACGCUCGGGACACGGAGUCGGCGAGGUUACUUUGAGUAAAUUAGAGUGUUCAAGGCAGGCCUACGCUCUGAAUACAUUAGCAUGGAAUAACACGAUAGGACUCUGGCCUAUCUUGUUGGUCUGUAGGACCGGAGUAAUGAUUAAGAGGGACAGUCGGGGGCAUUCGUAUUUCAUUGUCAGAGGUGAAAUUCUUGGAUUUAUGAAAGACGAACUACUGCGAAAGCAUUUGCCAAGGAUGUUUUCAUUAA